rnacentral:lncRNA from 1 species
GCCCUCUCUCUCAUUAAAUGCCAAUCUCCUCUUAUUUUGUGCGAUAAAAGCCCUCUCCCAUGUCUCUCCUACAUUCACAAAAGGUCUCCUCUCUUUUUUCUUACAUGGAAGGUGGUUUGGAUCAAAUCAAAAAGGAAUAAGUUUGGAUUUCGAAUUCUAUGAGAUAGAGUUUUAGAAAUCCAAAACUCUUUCAAUUUUGCACCAAAUUUAUCCAAAUUUUUUUUUGGAAUUUUUGUGG